CGCCCACCCUCCUCACCAAUCCUCGUCUCACCUUCUCCCCAAUCGCCGGCCGACUUCUCUCCUCCGCUCCAUCCCCACAUAAUGUUGCAGAGGGCACUAUAAGUGGAGGAGGCCAGCGGCGCGCCGCCUCUCCCCCGAGAUCGAGCCGGUCGUGGGCAGGAUGAGGUGCUGUAGGAGCGCACAUAGAGGAGGAGGGGGUCGGUGACGCCUCGUCCUCUCCUCUUCCCCGUCCUCUCAUCUUCCUCCGUCCUUGACGUCAACAUCCGGCCUCGCAGCUCGCAUCCGACCACACCAAGGUCGAUCCCCUUAUCGUCUCCAUUCUCCGCCUCGAUCUAGAAAUUGGGUCGCGAAUGAGGCAGGGGCGUGCCUUGGUGGAAGGAGGAGGGGCGGCCUACGGGCGGGUCCGGGACGGGAUCGCGCGGGGCGGAUCCACGGCGGCGGCGACUGGAGGCUACGGGCACGGCCGGAGACGGGCCGGCGCGGGGUGGAUCCGCUCCGGCGACGACCGGAGGCGACGGGCUCGUGCGGGGCGGAUCCGCGGUGAUGGCGACUGGAGGCGCCGGGCGCGGCCGAAGAUGGGCCGACGCGGGGCGGAUUCGCUCCAGCGACGGGCGCGGCCGGAGACAUGCCAGCCGGAGGUGGAGGAGCAGUAAGGGGCGGCGCUGGGACGGCGGAGCACAUCAGCAUCUCGUAGCUCGUCAAUUCUUUAUGCAGAGAGGCUGAGCUAACGCUGAUUUCCUGCGUGCUGUGUAGGAGGGGCUGUCCAGGUCGAAGUCGUUGACAUCGCUGGCCGCGGUGGACUCCCUGGAGGAUCUGGCCAAGACGGCUAGGAAGCGCAGCGCCUCGACAUACGACCACGACUCUGUCCGAGCCAUUCUCCUGAAAAAGGUCGAGGAGCUAAGAGAGUAGGUGCCUACUGGGAGAGUACAGAGUACCCAGAUGACAAACAACCUUCACGAGAGGUAGCCUGAUCUUGAGAAUAGCCAAGUCUGCAAUGGGGUUACGGUUUUCAUUGCCCCAAGAGCAUUUGGAAACCUUGUUUUCAUGACUGUAGGAGACGAAUCAGGGAUUAUCCAGUGUGAUCUUUGAACGGUUUUUUCACGGGAAAAACGCGGUGACAACAGCAGCUGCCGAACGGCCAUCUUCGGUGGACGCUCCUAUGAGCUCACGUCAUCGUGGUAGACUGGUAGUGCAGCGACGCCGCUCCAGACAAUGCCUAGGAGACGUCUUCAGGUUAGACGGUGGCAGGAUGGAGCUUUGAGGACCUCCAGUUUGGUGGCGGUAUGCGUGUAAAAUGGAGGAAGUGGUUACACUAUCUAUUUUAAACAUGCAGCAGGCAAAAAAUAAGUUGCUGGAUCGACGCAUGCUUUGCUCCUGUGCUCCUCUGUCCGUGCUAAGAGCAGUUGAUCGUUCCUCGACUGAAGUUACUCUUGUGUAUAAUGAUAGAGGGUCAUCCCCUUUUGGAGGGUGAAUUUGACGAGCAUUCCAAUU